UACGGAGGGGGCUAGCGUUGUUCGGAAUUACUGGGCGUAAAGCGUGCGCAGGCGGUUGUGCAAGACAGAUGUGAAAUCCCCGGGCUUAACCUGGGAAUUGCAUUUGUGACUGCACGGCUAGAGUGUGUCAGAGGGGGGUAGAAUUCCACGUGUAGCAGUGAAAUGCGUAGAUAUGUGGAGGAAUACCGAUGGCGAAGGCAGCCCCCUGGGAUAACACUGACGCUCAUGCACGAAAGCGUGGGGAGCAAACAGG
rnacentral:rRNA from 1 species